CCUACGGGAGGCAGCAGUGGGGAAUUUUGGACAAUGGGCGCAAGCCUGAUCCAGCAAUGCCGCGUGAGUGAAGAAGGCCUUCGGGUUGUAAAGCUCUUUUGUCAGGGAAGAAACGGCUGAGGUUAAUACCUUCGGCUAAUGACGGUACCUGAAGAAUAAGCACCGGCUAACUACGUGCCAGCAGCCGCGGUAAUACGUAGGGUGCAAGCGUUAAUCGGAAUUACUGGGCGUAAAGCGUGCGCAGGCGGUUUUGUAAGUCUGACGUGAAAUCCCCGGGCUCAACCUGGGAAUUGCGUUGGAGACUGCAAGGCUGGAGUCUGGCAGAGGGGGGUAGAAUUCCACGUGUAGCAGUGAAAUGCGUAGAGAUGUGGAGGAACACCGAUGGCGAAGGCAGCCCCCUGGGUCAAGACUGACGCUCAUGCACGAAAGCGUGGGGAGCAAACAGGAUUAGAUACCCUGGUAGUCCACGCCCUAAACGAUGUCUACUAGUUGUCGGGUCUUAAUUGACUUGGUAACGCAGCUAACGCGUGAAGUAGACCGCCUGGGGAGUACGGUCGCAAGAUUAAAACUCAAAGGAAUUGACGG
rnacentral:rRNA from 1 species